rnacentral:rRNA from 1 species
UACGUAGGGUGCGAGCGUUGUCCGGAAUUAUUGGGCGUAAAGAGCUCGUAGGUGGCUUGUCGCGUCUGCCGUGAAAGCCCGUGGCUUAACUACGGGUCUGCGGUGGAUACGGGCAGGCUAGAGGCUGGUAGGGGCAAGCGGAAUUCCUGGUGUAGCGGUGGAAUGCGCAGAUAUCAGGAGGAACACCGAUGGCGAAGGCAGAUCUCUGGGCCGUAACUGACGCUGAGGAGCGAAAGCGUGGGGAGCGAACAGG